UGAUUAGGCUACUGCAGUGGUUCCCAAACAGGGGUUCACAAACCCCUGGGAGUUCGCAGAACGUUACAGGGGGUUCACCAGAAAAAUUUCACUAAUGGCGGCCAGAGGACCCUGGGCAUUGGAGGCAGCAGGUGGGACCCGGUUGCAGGGCAGACAGCCUGAGCCCUAGGGAGAGCGGGGUAGGGCAGUUGGGGCUGGCAGCUCAAGCCCUGCCUCCGUGAUCGGGGGAGCCGGCUGCCCAAA